rnacentral:tRNA from 1 species
GUUAUUUUGGCAGAUUAGUGCUUUAAAUUUAGAAUUUAACUAAGUAAUUUAUAUUACAAAUAAUA